rnacentral:tRNA from 1 species
GACUAAGUAAUUAAAUUAUAAUAGUGGUCUUGUAAGCCGAAAUUAGGGUAAUCUCUCUUAGUCU